rnacentral:lncRNA from 1 species
CCAAGGCCAGGGAUCAUAUUUUAUCGGCUUCAAAUGAGAUUAUUUCCCUUUUAUUACAAGGCGAGGGAUUAGGGAAGGGGUCAUAUUUUAAUCUUUUAAAAAAUAUAUUCCUUCCAAUUUAAAAUAUAAGAUCAUGCAACAUUAAUUUAAAAUAUUUUUAAUUCCAAAUUUAUGCGAGAUAGUACAAAAUAUUUUUCAAUAGUAAAUGAUCAAUUGUUAAUUUGAUUAUACUACACGACAAACGAUGCUGAAUAUAAAAUAAAACUAAGACUGAGCAUUCGGUUAAUAACCGAACCGAAUCAGAAUUUCGAUUAUAAUUGAAAUUCAAAAACACCCUAUUUUAACUACCUGAACAAAUAAUCGAAUUUUGUACUAACUGAAUAAGUUAUUCGGUUAUUCAAUUAAUAACCAAAUUAAAAAGAAUUAGCAAACACAAUUCAAUUCCUACAAAUUACAAUCCAUAAAACAUAACCCGUAAACAACAACACAGACACAGUUCCUACAACAAAACCUUCACCGUAAUCGCUGAAACCCUAAUCCCAUUCCCAAUCCCAUCGAUUCUUCUAUAAAUGAUACAUCCAAGACAAUAAACAAUGGACGCCUCUUAUCUGCAACAAAUCAAUUACAUCUCAUCUCCAAUUCGUUCCUCCACCAACCGUCCUUUCUCUGUUCUCUUCACAACUCCGAUACACAAGUAGCUGGGAAGCCUCGUCCUCGUGAGGUUGUGAGCAAGAAAAAAAAGAUGAAAUUGAACGGGUCUGUGACGAUCUUCAUUCAGGUUUCGAGCUGGGAAGCCUCGUGAGUCGUGACUCGUGAGCUUGGUUUCGAUUUUCGAGCUCCGAUACACAUUUGCUUGGUUUCGGAUCUUCAGGUUUGUUCGGCGAAGGCCGAAGGUGAAGCCGCGAAGGCGAUGGAGAUCUGAGAUAUCUGGGUCUCAGAUCAACAAUGGCAGCCAUAAAUCUGUGACGAUUUGAGAUCUGUAGAUAUUAAAGACUUAAAGUAGAUCUGUAGAGAUUUGGAAUUUUCAUGGGCUAUUUAGUAAUCUGUAAUUUUCAUGUCCAGCCCACUUCAUCUUGUUCGGUUAUGUAAAUACUUCAUCUUUACACAGUUUUGUUCGGUUAUUCGGGUUAACCGAAUAACCCAAAAUAAUACCCGUAUAAAUUAAUCGAAAAUCGUAAUAAAAUUCGGAUAUAACCGAAAUGUUAAAAAUACUCAAAUUGUCAGAAAAUUUCGGUUAAAUUAUUUCGAUUUGGUUCGAUUUUUUGAUUAUAUCUGAUUUUUGCUCAGUCCUAAAUAAAACCCUUGAAAAUUGAGAAGAUCGAAUGAAUCGUACUCAUAAUCACAUCAGGUCUCCAAGUGAACGG